AACGCAUCUUGCGCCUUUUGGUAUUCCAAAAGGCACACCUGUUUGAGUGUCAUGAAACCCUCUCAUUAAACCAUUUUGUUCUUGAACAAGAUAGUUUAGUGGAUGUUGAGUGUUGCUGUCAUUAGCUCACUUUAAAUAUAUCAGUUACUUUUCAAAUGAGUUGGAUUGACUUGGUGUAAUAAUUUUAUCAUCACAUCAAGGAAAGUAGCAAUACUUGCCAUCUUGUUUAAACAAAAGGGACUUCUAAAAACCCAAUUAAUUAUUUUUUAAGACCUCAAAUCAGGUGGGACUACCCGCUGAACUUAA
rnacentral:misc_RNA from 1 species